CUAAUGGUGGUGUUACGAAUUUCAGUCUGAUUGCAAAGCCUGUUACAUGCUUCCAGAUGUACUUGCGAUAAAAGUCUGGACAAUCACAGCAACCAGUAAUCCAGUCGGUCUGAUUGUUUGGUAGUGUUA